GUGCCAGCAGCCGCGGUAAUACAGAGGGUGCAAGCGUUAAUCGGAAUUACUGGGCGUAAAGCGCGCGUAGAUGGUUUGUUAAGUUGGAUGUGAAAUCCCCGGGCUCAACCUGGGAACUGCAUUCAAAACUGACUGACUAGAGUAUGGUAGAGGGUGGUGGAAUUUCCUGUGUAGCGGUGAAAUGCGUAGAUAUAGGAAGGAACACCAGUGGCGAAGGCGACCACCUGGACUAAUACUGACACUGAGGUGCGAAAGCGUGGGGAGCAAACAGGAUUAGAAACCCUGGUAGUCC
rnacentral:rRNA from 1 species